UACAGAGGUCCCGAGCGUUGUUCGGAUUUAUUGGGCGUAAAGGGCGCGUAGGCGGCCUGCUAAGUCGAACGUGAAAUCCCUGGGCUCAACCCAGGAACUGCGUCCGAUACUGGUUGGCUUGAAUCCGGGAGAGGGAUGUGGAAUUCCAGGUGUAGCGGUGAAAUGCGUAGAUAUCUGGAGGAACACCGGUGGCGAAGGCGACAUCCUGGACCGGUAUUGACGCUGAGGCGCGAAAGCCAGGGGAGCAAACGGG
rnacentral:rRNA from 1 species